rnacentral:lncRNA from 1 species
UUAAAUACUAAUCCGUCCCGUGGGUCCCCCAACUUUCUGUUUAUUUCCUUACCAGGUAAUGGAUAUUUGGGUUGUUGGGUCCUCCUGGCUGUGGGUAGUGCUGGUGUGAAUUCCGUGACUCUAUCUGUGCAGGCAAAUGCUUUCAGAGUCUCUUUGGUUACAUGCUGAGGAGUGGAGUUGCUUUAUCUCAUGGUAAGUGAUUGGCCUUAGAAACUCACAGGAGGGGCUAGGAGAAGGGGCUGCCGCGGGUGGUGCUGGGGUCCCCCGGGGCACAUGAGGAGGCUGGUUCUGCACAUGUUGGAAAAGUUGCAGACUGGAUUCCGCUGCCCUGAGGAAAACCUUGAUAACGCAGGUCUGGUUUUCACCUAGGCGUGAGCGUGAGGUGCACCCGGUCCUCCCUGGGUGCCUGGCUGUAGUGCCGGACUCUCUUCUGAGCCCGUCGCCAGUGUUUUGAGAUUGGCUGUCUUCUGAACAGUGGCCAGCAUUUGCCUCCUUAGAGGUAUGUUCCCUGCUGCUGGACAGAUGCUUAGCUGAUGCACGCUGUUAAAAACAGACAUUGCGUCAUAGCAGCGUGGGUGUUGGAACAGCAGCCUGCUGGUCACUGAGUGGACUCAGGCCUGACGCUUCCACGGGUCCUGGGGGACACGUGUGGUUAUGUCCACGCAGCCAUGAAAUCACAUGGUUUCAAGUUCACCACAAUUCACAUUUACAUGAAAACUUCCUUUACUGCGUGCCUUUACCUUCUCUCAGCCCUGUGGGUCCCUUCAAGGUCCCAGCCUGAGAGGCUAGAGGUGCAGCUGAACCCACCCUAAACCCAGGUUGGGACUCAGUCCCAUGUGCCGGGACUCAAACCCAGUCUAAAUCCGAGAUUGUGUCUUGAACCCACAGUUUUAAAUGAGGAUCACUCACCGGGCAUAUGGACUCACUGAGGUUCAGAUUCUUUAUGCCUCCACGCAGAAGGAAUUCAGUGAGAGACAAAGUGAUGGGCAAGAAAUCAAUUUAUUAGGAUAGGACACUUGGGAGAGAGGCAGGAGGGCAGGCACGGAAGCUCUGCCCCAGGAUCCAGUGGGUCACAGUUUUAUCCUCCAAGGGUCAUGGGGGUCGGAAAAGACCAAGCCUCUUCCUCUUUCUUCGAGUAGUAGCUCCUUGGUAUCUGGUCCUGGUGCUUAUUUAAAUCAGCAGAAGGGCGGGCUUCAAACUCCUGCCCUUGGUCUGAAGCUGAAUGCAGGCCUCAUCCCCCGCCCCACCCAGCAACUUGAGGCAAGUCUCGUGCCUCCACUAGUCCAGCAAGCCUGCCUUGUUCUGAUGGCUUUCUGGAGCAAUUAUUAAUCUGCGGUGAUCUCCCAAAGGUUGGUCUUCUCGAGCUCUCAUGGUCUUGGAGGCGACUACCGUGGCUCUCGGGGAGUCCAGGGUGAGGUCCUGAGCUCUUCUGUGCAUGUCACUGUUGCAGGGAUUUGCAGGAAGGAGUCCCAGGUUUUAACAAGGCUGUUAGGCUCAAGGUUAUAGUUUAUUACUGUGAAAGGGUCCAGGUUAAAGUCCGCGUGGAGAAGGGGCCUCGUCUGGGAGGUACCAGCCUCGAGAGUCCAGGCGUCCUUUCCUGUGGGGGCCUCUGCGCUGCUUUGUUCCCGGCAUUGACGAGCAGCGACAGGCGUGGGGUCUUCUCCAACAGGGAGGCCCCCCGAAGCGAGGUCCGUGACAUAGGUAGGGACCGUGGCUUCCCUCAGUGACUCAGCCUCAACCUCCCCCCCAGGGGUCAGGCUGAUCCUGUGUGGCUCGAGGUCUUCAGCAUAAGUCACAUUGUCAGCAGAAACUAUCCGCUGUGACCCGAGGCCUUAGGUAAGCAAAGACUUAGGCGGAGUCUUCCAAGGGCCGGCCGUCCCCUCCCAGGAGCAGGUCAGGGGUGGGCUUUUGUUAGGAGUGUGCAGGGCGUGGGCCGCUGAGGCCUGCUGGGUCAGCCGUGCACUGCACACCCAGCUACAGCUGAAGGAAACUUCUUUUUUUGAGGGGGGGCUUUUUAGGACCACACCCUCGGGACAUGAAGGUUCCCAGGCUAGGGGUCGAAUCGGAGCCAUAGCUGCUGGCUUACACCACAGCCACAGCAACACCAGAUCUGAGCCAACUCACUGAGCGAGGCCAGGGAUCGAACUGACAUCGUCAUGGAUACCAGUUGAAUUCGUUUCCACUGCGCCAUGAUGGGAACUCCUGAAAGGUGCUUCUAAUGGCCGUUCCCGUGGCAUUUCAGUGACUUGGGUUUCGGGCCUUGGGUGUGCUCUGGAGGAUGUGUGUGGGGUCAGAGUGGCUGUAGGUCAAGCCACGGCAGGGUGAUCUGUGUGAACCAGAGGGCAGGCCCAUGUCAGCUCAGGGUCCCAGGCCAGUGUCCAGCCCGAGCAAUGCUGGGGGACCUGGGCCUCGUGUUAACCUCCAGAUUGAUUCAUUGGCCUGGGUGCCUGACCCUUUUGUCCCCAGGGUGGGGCUUCAGACACUAACACUCCCCCCGCCGGUGCUGACCCAGGCCCCUCCUGAGGAGCAGCCGCCUGGAGACCUGGCAGAGCUGGCCAUGCCCUCCCCAGAUGGAGUCAGGUGAGCUGUAAGUCCCCCAAAGCCAGCGAUGCCACAUCCUGCUGAAGCCCCACCGCUUUGUUCACUACAGGCCUUGGAGCAUCACGUUCAGCAGCUGUGCCCCGCCCCCCCGCCCCUGCCCUGCCCCACCUUGGCCUUGGCCUUGGCCUUGGCCAGGAGCCUGCCUUGCACCCUCACUCAGCCCCUGGGGCUGAGGGGCUGGCCCUCCCCAGGCUCCCAUUCCGUGAGUGUGGAAGAGGUGGUGUCCCCAGGGCACAAACUCAGGGGCAUAGGAGCAAGGCUGGCCCCGGGAGGGUGCCUGGUCUUGGCUGCUUCUGGCUGGGGACAGACAGUGCAGCUGGGAAAGGCAGAAUCCAGAUUUUUAUUAUUUAUUUAUUUAUUUACUUUUACUUUUUAGGGCCGCGCCUGUGGCCUAUGGAAAUUCCCAGGCUAGGGGUCUAAUAGAAGCUGUAGAUGCCAGUCUAUGCCACAGCCACAGCAAUGCCAGAUCCUUAACCCACUGAGCAAGACCAGGGAUUGAACCUGCGUCCUCAUGGAUACUAGUCAGAUUCGUUUCUGCUGAGCCACGAUGGGAACUCCAAGAAAAAAAUUUUCAGUGUAAUAUAUAUGCCUUAAGCGGCCCAAGAAAAGGCAAAAAAGACCAAAAAAAAAAAAAAAGUCCAGCCCCCACAUGGUCUGCCUUUCUGGAGAUUAACCGCUGUCCUUCCUCACCUCACAGGUACACAUACACACGUGUGUGUGUGUGUGUUUGCACCUCCUCUCGUGUUGGGGUCCCUCCCUCUCUCCUCAGCCACUCUGUUGGGGUCGUUUGCACAGCACAGCUGGGGCGCGUGGGCCACUGUCCGCUUCUCUUCCCGGAACACACACCUUUGCUGGCUGCUGCCCCCUUUGCUCUUUGUCCUCUGGAUCAGGGACCAAAGCUCAGCCCCGGGUCCCAGGGCACUUGAACGUGUGUGGUCCUGGCGAGGGACACGGGGCCUCCUGCCUGGCUCGGGAGGGAGGACCCCACCUUGGCCUCCCCCUCCCCGGGUCUUCGGAGAUGCUGUCAGACCUGGAGCUGCGCGAGCUGGCUCAGCAGGGGAACCUCCAGGGCUGCUUUCCUGUAAGACGCCGUCACACAUCCCUAGAACAGCACUGGGCUCCGCAAAAUGCUGCCCCACGGGGGGAGGCCCUGGGGCCGGGGCCCGAGGCGCGAGGCUGACAGGCUCCUGGCCUGCUUCUCCAGGAGCCCGUCGGCACAAGCGUUUCCUCCUUGCGCAGAAAAAUAGAACAGAAGCCACGGGUCCUGACACCCUUGACCACAUUGCCCCAAGUCUCUGCAAGCUUGGGACGGGGUGGGUGUGGGUUGUGACUGGACAGCUUGGUCCUCUCCUCUCCCUGCUGCCAGGAAGCUCAGAGCUGAGGUUUAUGCACCAUCGCGGCCCUUCCUGCGCCCGGCCCAGCCACGAUGUGCCGCUCAUUUCUGGUUUCAGUAUUUAGUCUGACGCCCGUUUGCGGUGUAUCGGGCCGCCCUGGGUCCUCCAGGAGGCCGGUCCGUAGGUGACUGGGGAUGGUACUGCCAGCGGGGCAUCCUCAUAAAGUGGUGGGGGUUUCCGAGGCUUGCUGCCAUCCCGAGGGUGAAGUUUAUUUAGUCCCUGGGACCAGAAUUCGUCCAGUGGGAAGUGAGCUUUGUGGCCACAGGUGACCGGGAAUCUGCUACCUAAAGAGGGAGCCUAGUCAGUGAUCUCUGAUGGGUUUACCCGGUCCCACCGGUAAACCGUUUCCUUCCCAUUUCACAGCAGGUCGGGGCUGGGGCGGCCCUGAAAUCAGAACACACAGGGCAGGAACAGAAACAUUCUUUUGCGGCGUCUGGAGAGAGUGAUGUGGGCCCAAAGCCGUCCCUGAAGAGGCCGCGGAGUGCCUGCCAGCGCCCAGGUGCCAAGCAGGACGUAAGGCCAUCAACCUGCAGGUGGAGCUGGAGGUGCUACAGUGCUUUGAAGCUGGAGAGAUGCUCAGCAGAAUCGGGAAGGCGCUGGGGCUCUCCACCUCCACCGUGGCCACCAUUUGUGACAAGGACAAGAUCUGAGCGAGUUUCCAGGCGGCCACCCCGCAGGCGGCCACCAAGCUGACGCACAGCCGCCGCCUGGCGAUGGAGAACACGGAGCGGCUGCUGAGCGUGUGGAUCGAGGACCAGAACCAGCGCAACACGCGGGGCAACAUGGUGCUUGUCCAGGAGAAGACCGCAGCCUGUUCGAGGAGCUCAGGCGGCAGCAGGGCGAGGGCGCCGAGUCGGAGACCUUCAGGCCUGCCAGGGCCGGUUCAAGGUACGCUUCCGGCUGCGCACCCUGGGGUGGGCCGACGAGGCGGUGCGUGCAGCCCCUGGGGCGCGUGCAGGUACUGUGGGCCGCGCAGGGUGAUCCAGGAGGGGGACUUCACGGCCCGCCAGGUGUUCAGCGUGGAGGAGACCCGGCUCUUCUGGAGGCGGCUGCUGGAUGGGACGGUGCCUUCCGCCCGGAGGAGCGCCCUGGGUUCACAGCCCCCCAAGAUCUACUGACUCUGCUGCUGGGCAGCAACGUGGCCGGUAGCUUGAAGCUGAAGCCGCUGCUGGUGUACCCGGUGGAGAACCUGCGCGCCCUCAGGGGCUUCUCCAAGCCCAGCCUGCCCCUGCUUGGCUCGCCCACAAGAAGGCGUGGGUCACGGUGAGCCUCUUCCCGGAGUGGUUCGUGCACUUCUUCCGCCCUGCGGUGGAGAGGUACUAUGCCUGGCACGGGCUCCCGCGUAAAGCGCAGCUUGUCCCGGACAGCGCUCCUGGCCGCCCUGGAAACCUGGACGACCUCUCCGACCACGUGGGCGUGGAGUCCCUGCCCAAGGAUACCACAGCCCUCAUCCAGCCCAUGACCCAGGACGUGGUCGCCACCUUUAAGGCCUGCCACCUGCGGAGGGUCUUCCGCCUCUUGGCCGCGAGGGCCGGGGGCACAGGCGAGCCGGGAGCGGCCCUGGACGUCUGGCGGGACUACUGCAUCCUUGACACCGCCCCGUACCUCUCCGUGUCCUGGGAGGGGUCCCGCCCUCGUCGCUGAACAGUGGUUGGAGGAGGCCGUGGCCCGAGCGCCUCCAGCACAGAGUCAGCGGCCCCCAGGUGGAAACCCUCCCACAGAUCUGGUGGGACAUCCAGGCGCUGGCGCACCAGGUGGGUUUCAGGGAGGUGGCGGAGGCAGAGGUGGCCGAGCUGCUGCAGAGCCGUGGCUCGGACUGGUCCAAGAGGAGCUGGAGGAGCCGGAGCCGACUGCCGAGGAGGAGGGCAAGGCCAGCCCCGCCACCGCCGCCAGCUCACGGCUGAGCACUUGGCCAGGGCCCUGGCACAUUUCGAUGCCCGCCUGCACAUCAUCAGGGACGACGCCUCCAAGCUGGAGUGCAGCCUCCAGGUCUGCCGGGGUGUGAACAACUUGAUGGGCUGCUGUGGGCGCAUUUCAAGGAGAAGCAAGGCCCCAAGUAGUGGGGUGGGAGGGGUGGGGAAGGAGGGGGCGUCCUCCCUCGCCAGCUCUCACUUGGAAGUGACACUGGUCUUCGUGUUUCCAUCUCAUUAACUCCUCAAAUGUCUUUUGUCAGCAAAUAAUUUAUUAUCUCCAGUGAUCUCAAAUACAUGGUUUUAGAAGCCU